CCGUUAAGAGUCCAUAUGAAAUUAUUUUAACUUCUAAAUUGCAAUCCUAUUCCCAUAAGGAAACUCGCCAGAUGGCUUCUCGGCACGGCACGCCUCGCAAUUUCGGCUCCGGGCGGAUGGGUUCGCGAUCAGGUCAGAAAACGUGAUCAAACCAAACAUUUGAGGCUGGGAAUUGCGCAGUUGGAAAACUUAGUUUUGAGAAUUGAAUGAACUUCACUCACACCACAAUAAAGGAGCGACCCCAGUAAUCAGGAUGAUAUGUAACAUGGUACCAAGCUGAUGCUUUUGCUGCUUCUACAUCAUUGAUAUCAGGCUUCAUAUCCGACUGCAUUCCCAGCUUCUCAUCAAACCAGGGUCAUAAAACUUCAUAGCAACUUCCAUGGUGAAGGAUUUAAUUGAGCCCGAGUUUGAAGGUGAAUCUGAUGCAAGCUCAACAUGUUUC